AGAUUCCUACGGGAGGCAGCAGUCGGGAAUUUUGGGCAAUGGGCGAAAGCCUGACCCAGCAACGCCGCGUGAAGGAUGAAGUAUUUCGGUAUGUAAACUUCGAAAGGAUAGGAAGAAUUAAUGACGGUACUAUUUAUAAGGUCCGGCUAACUACGUGCCAGCAGCCGCGGUAAUA
rnacentral:rRNA from 1 species